AGCAGUGCUGUCUUCAGUAUACUAAAAUUGGAACAACACAGAGAUUAGCAUGGUCCCUGUGCAAGGAUGCUGGGAAAAUUUACAAAGAAGUCCAUAUUUUU
ensembl:snRNA